rnacentral:lncRNA from 12 species
AAAGACUUAUAAACUGACCACACUGGGCAGGUUUUCCUGGGAUUAGCAAAAGACAUGGUCUUGCCAUGAAAACUGCUGCUCUGCCAGACCUGAUGUUCUGCUACAAAGCGUAGUUUUCCUCAUGGAAUAGAUCUUAUAGCGUUCCUUGGAUAUUAGUGUUGUUAAAUAACAACAACAACCACGAGGAAGCAGCUCUCCAACAUGGAAAAUUUCAAUAUUUGCACUGAGCAAGGCUUGCUGCAGUGAAAAUCAAUGUUAGAAUACCAGGGAUGAAGCAACCCAGCAAUCGUGUGUGUUGUGUACUCCAGCCACCCGAGGGACAGAGGAGUGUGUGUUUUGUUGCUAUGCCAGCUACAAGUCAGCACUGAAAACUCACUGCCCAUCUACCACUGUGUGCUUCUAAGUGCCAGCUAUGUGAAAAAGAAGGGAGAUCCUUGGAAACCAUAUACAGAUGGCCUGAACCAAGCUAGAAGUGGAGAGAAAGGACAGACAGCCUAGGUAGGUGAUGAAGCAUAUGUUCUACAAAUCCAGACUGCCUUAAGCUAAAG